GGAGGCUAACGCAGGGAACUGAAACAUCUUAGUACCUGCAGGAAAAGAAAAUAAACAAUGAUUCCCCCAGUAGUGGCGAGCGAACGGGGAACAGCCCAAACCAUCCAUGUUACGGCAUGGGUGGGGUUGUAGGACUACGCCGUUGCAUGAAGACAUCAGAGAAGAACUUUCUGGAAAGAAAGACCAUAGAGCAUGACAGUUGCGUAUUCGAAUGUUGUCUAAGCAUAGUAGUAUCCUGAGUAGCGCGGAGCACGAGGAAUUCUGCGUGAAUCUGCCGGGACCAUCCGGUAAGGCUAAAUACUCCCGAGAGACCGAUAGCGAACCAGUACCGUGAGGGAAAGGUGAAAAGCACUUCGAACAGAAGAGUGAAAUAGUUCCUGAAACCGUGCGCCUACAAGCGGUCGGAGCUCGUUAAUGAGUGACGGCGUGCCUUUUGCAUAAUGAACCUACGAGUUGCCUUUGCCGGCAAGGUUAAGUGUGACGACACACGUAUCCGAAGCGAAAGCGAGUCUGAACAGGGCGUAUAGUCGGCAGUGGCAGACGCGAAACCAAGUGAUCUACCCUUGGCCAGGUUGAAGGCUGGGUAACACCAGCUGGAGGACCGCACCAAUAAGCGUUGAAAAGCUUCUGGAUGAGCUGAGGGUAGGGGUGAAAGGCUAAUCAAACUUGGAGAUAGCUCGUACUCCCCGAAAUGCAUUUAGGUGCAGCCUUGCGGGUUACUGAUGUGAGGUAGAGCGACUGAUAAGAUGCGAGGGCUUCACCGCCUAUCAAGUCUUGACAAACUCCGAAUGCGCAUCAGUUCUACCGCAGGAGUGAGGGCAUGGGUGCUAAGGUCCGUGCCCGAGAGGAGAAGAAUCCGGACCACCUGCUAAGGUCCCGAAAUGACAGCUAAGUUAAACUAACGAAGUCUGACUGCUAAGACAGCUAGGAUGUUGGCUUGGAAGCAGCCAUUCAUUUAAAGAGUGCGUAACAGCUCACUAGUCGAGGAGUCGGGCGUGGAUAAUAAUCGGGUAUUAAGUUGUCUACCGAAGCAGUGGGAUCAUUAAUAUGAUCGGUAGGGGAGCAUUCCAGUCAGCGUCGAAGGCGUACCGUGAGGUAUUCUGGAGCGUCUGGAAAAGCAAAUGUAGGUAUAAGUAACGAUAAAGGGGGCGGGAAACCCCCUCGCCGAAAGACUAAGGUUUCCUGAUCAACGCUAAUCGGAUCAGGGUCAGUCGGGUCCUAAGGCUCAGCCGAACGGCGAGGCCGAUGGCAGAACCGGUUAAUAUUCCGGUACUACCUGUGGGAGUGACGUGGAGACGGAGUCGUGACAGCGCCGCGGACUGACGGAAUAGUCCGUUGAAGGGUGUAGAUGCUGAUUGUUCCAGGCAAAUCCGGAGCAAGAGUCGAACCUGAUAGUAUGGAGCGUUCUUAGAACAAUCCAAUAGUGCGUGUAAUCAUACUUCCAAGAAAAUCCGCUAAACUUAAUCCUGCAGGUACCCGUACCGCAAACGGACACACGUAGUCGGGAUGAAUAUUCUAAGGCGCUUGAGUGAUUCACGGUUAAGGAACUAGGCAAACUGACCCUGUAACUUCGGGAUAAAGGGUCCUCAGGGUGACUUGAGGCGCAGAGAAUCGGUCCAGGCAACUGUUUAACAAAAACACAGGGCUGUGCAAAAUAGAAAUAUGAAGUAUACAGCCUGACACCUGCCCGGUGCUGGAAGGUUAAGAGGAGAUGUCAUCGCAAGAGAAGCAUUGAAUUGAAGCCCCAGUAAACGGCGGCCGUAACUAUAACGGUCCUAAGGUAGCGAAAUUCCUUGUCGGGU
rnacentral:rRNA from 1 species